rnacentral:lncRNA from 1 species
GCUCCCCUCCGACACCUCGGCAACGCUGACUUCUCACCCCUUUGAGCCGCUUGACCAGGGCACUCUUCUGCCCGCUCUUGGCUAGGCCUCGCUGCUCCAGUGCGGCCUUCAGGUCGGUCACCCGCAGAGCCUGAAGAGGCUUCCCGUCCAGAGUCACCUCCUCCAGCUCCGCCAUCUUGCGUGAGGUACUCGGGUCCGUCCCGACGGCUUCGGGCAUCUUCGGUAAUUUCCGCCAACGCCCUUCGAACGUACCGAACUGGCCCCGCCCACUGCCAUAGUCUACCCCUCUAUUACCGCUCAGAAUUCCCCGGGUUCCUCCGGAACUGUUCGGUCGUUUCCGUCUCCACAUCGGUACCAAUCGGCUUUUUCCAUCUGCCUAGCGGCCGGCUCCUCCCAUUUUACUUUCAGGAUGCCACUGGAAUCGUCUUCCACAUCAGUGCCACCCUGCUUCCCUUCUGUGUUACCCUCAGUGCCUGAUGACAUUGCCAACUCUUCCCCCCCUCCAAUGUCUUACAUCACUUCCCAGGAGAUGAAGUGUGUUCUUCACUGGUUUGCCAGUUGGUCAGGUCCCCAGCGGGAACGUUUUCUCCAAGACCUGGUCGCU